rnacentral:misc_RNA from 1 species
GCGGGUGCUCGUUUCGAAAACGAGGCUGUCGCAAGUCUAUUGAAAACAAACUUACACGCUGGACUACCUCAAACAAAAUCCAAGAUGACGAGUCGUGAACGGUGGCCAUGGAUAUAGGGACUUCAGGUCAAGGGCACUAGGGGAGACUAUCAAGAUGGCAUUCCUUGGCAUGAGUGACGAUUUCGAUUUAGAUGAUGAUGGAAUUCUCCGGGACUCUGCAUCAAGCACUGGAGGGUUCCUGAUCGACAAUGAUGGUAUUGUGAGAGAUGACCUUGACCUCUACAAGAACACAGGUAACUGGACUGACUCAGGGUUCGGAGGUGACAAACAGUCAAGCACAUCCACAUUGCGACAAUUACAGACAAGCUUUGAUGAUGACUCAAGAUUAUUUGAUGUUGACCAAAGUGUGAAUAUCAGUGAGCUUGAAGCUUCCAAAGAUGACCUGAGCUUUGAUCGAGAAUCUGUCACCAGUUUUGAUCAUGAUUUUCAAGAUGGAAGCCGAGGCAAUACAUCUGCUGGUAUCAUCAGUAAUAGAAGCUCACUAGAGAAGCCCCAGAGUGGACAACACAAUGAACACAAUCAAAGUGCUACCAAAUCAAACACUGACAAGAGUGAACUGUUCACUGAGGAGUAUUACCAACAGUUGCGUGACCUUGGUGUGUUAGUGGACGGUGCUGAUUUAUCCAAUACCAAAGACUCGGUACAAGAUUUUGAUCAGCUAGAGGCACAUCUGUCCAGGGAAAAUAUAUUCGAUGAAACUGCUCAGACAGACACUAUUGCUGAUUUUUUUAGAAAAGAAAAUGAGAGACAGAUUCAGGAACAGCAGGCAUAUAAGUCGCAGGAGUUCAGGAAUGGGGGAGAGAACAGAUUCCGUCCAAAUUCUGUAGCCUCAGAGCAGACGCUCAGCAGCCAUUCCUUCCCAGAAGUCUCUCCAGAAGAGGCCCUGAUGCUGUAUAAUGUCAACAGAGCUGCAGAUUCAUUUGAUAAUGGGAACUUUGAAUACGGAAAUCAAAGGGUGGUUGAUACAACUGGUUUAUUUCACCGAGACGGCGACACAUCAGGAAUAUUUCACCGUAGCGGAGAUGAUGAUGAGAUCUUCUUCAUCACCAGUCGGAUGGGCACAGAAGCCCAGAUGCCAAACUUCAGUCAGAAUGUGUCCCCUGCUCCAUACUCCCCACACAGCAGUCGGCCCACAAGCCGUGGUAGUGUCUACAGCAGCAGGUCUCAAACUCCUUACAGGGACCUUCAGCAGAGCUCUACAUCACUGACAGAUGUCUCACGCCUCGGAUUUAACCAGAGUUCGGUUGAACAUGAACAACCAGACUCUCCUGUGAAGAAGGAAGAGAGGCCACAACUUCAGACUCGUCCUGAGUCUGCCAACAAUCAAAGCAAGUCACGACCUUCAUCAGUAGCCAGUCACAGAUCAACAGUUUCCGAAGCUCAUUCCUCCAAAACAAACCAAUCCGAUUCUUCCAAACAGCUGUCGAAGGCUCGAUCAGAAGAAAGUUUCUUUGAAGGGAACAAAACUCCCAGAUCAACAAAUGAAAAAAUGCCAAAACGACUCUUACCGAAACCGGUUGAGGAGAACCAAAGCUUCCGGAUGAAGAGCAAGAGCACAACCAACAUCUCAAACCGACAUGGUCCUAUAAAACCCACACACUUGUCCAUGUCUGACUUGUCCCGAUCUGGAGUGGAUGAUGGGCUGGAGGGAGAAGGUGACAGGUCACAAGGAGAGUUGACAGUAAAGCUCAAACAGGAACACUUAAAGCGGAAACAGGCUACAGAGCUGGUUCAACAGCUACAGAAGGACUAUGACAGUCUCUUGUCCAAGUAUGCUAUGGCGGAGCUGACCAUUGAUCAAAUGAGGCUUGGGGCAAAGAUAACACUUCAUUCAGACUCCCCGACACCGAACCAGAUUCAAACUGGGACCUUGACAGUGGCUCAACACCCUCAGGUUCUACAGAUGGGCAGUGCAGCACAUGGGGUGCUCUCAAACUCUCCCGCUCCAGGGGUCGCUGGACACUUCAGCCCUCAACCUGAUAGUCUCAGCUUGCGUGACAACCGAACACCGACCAGUGUCUCGGAGAGUUGGGCAGCAGGACGGUCAGACAGGGGGGUCGGAGGGGAUUCUCGGAGACCGUCAGUGACCGAGUCGGAAGAACGCGGAUUUGUACCCCAGAAUGUCGGAGCUGAGAAGGUGAAGACGGAGUUGCUGCAUCAGGCCAGUGGACUGAAUGAACGGAUUGAGUCCUUCAACUCCCUCCUGGAGCAGAGACAGCUGACCCUUGAGGAGCAGGAGGAGGUGCUUGAGAACAUCCGCACUGACCAUGAGGUCCUCCGUAGACACUACCUCCAAGCAAAGGAGGACUACAACGUACUUCGGCGAUCAGGUGCCUCCCUCAAAGAUGCCAACUUUGACCAAGGCAAGGAACUGGAAGGAGAGCUGUUCCGAUUGGGUAUGAAAUUUGAUGAAAUUCAUGCCAAUGUUGACACAAACUUGAUGGAAAAAGCAGCACUCCGUCAACCGUUCCAAAGCAACAGACUCGCAGACUCAAUGGAGGACAAGGAUGAAGAUGAUGAACAUGCAAUUGACCAACUGAAGAGGAAGAUGCAGGGGACUCUAGCAGGAAGUGAUGUUGUGCCACCCAAAGAGGAUACCGAUUUUGAGAAAAAGUUACAAAGACUUCAUGAUGAGUAUAAUGCGUUAAUGGAUCGGUACCGACGGUUGAAACAGAUGGCCAAAACGCCUGAACGUGACAAGGAGAUUGAUAACUUGGUCAGAAAACUGAAGCAGAUUUGUGAUGAAGCUCCGGACAUGUUCCGUCUUGCUCCAGAGCUGGAAGAAAGAUGGGAGAGGAUGCAGAGACAAGAAUCAAGAAACGCAUCACGUGGGCAGUCUCCGCAGCCGGAAUCAGCAUCCCCUGGGGCCUACUUCCUGUCGGGAGAGGAGGCGAACAGACUACAGCGACAAAAUCAGGGAAGAAGUACGCCAGACUACAGGUCAGAUUCCCAGGACCGACACCAGGAGCCAGGAACCAGGCCUGGUGGCCAGGAAGGAAGUGGAAAUAGAACAAAAUAUGAAAAAAUGAAUGGUUACCAUGGCAACACAUCCAGAGACAGUUUGUCAUCUCGAGAUCGAGCAUCUCCUUCAAUGCCCAGUAGAGGGCGCCUCUCACCAUCCUCACAUGAUCGGCGAUCACCGACACAAGAUGGACGUUCGCGGUCACCUAGGGAUGGCUACUCGCCAGUCAUCAGAGGAGGUCCUCGGGGAUCAGGACGCCCCACCCUCAACAUCUCCAGGGACAGACUGUCGACUGACGGGAGAGAGCUCUCACGGGACGAUCCAAACACAUCACUGCCCCGCCCUAGACGCCACAGUCAUGACUUCAGGGACCACAAGAUGAGGAAGCAUCCUGGUGGUGGCAGCAUGCAUAGUCUGGAUGACAGCGGCAUCUCGGACCAGGAACAGGGGGCACUCGCCAACCUGCCGGGCCCCGGAAAGUUCAAGCAGAUGACGAAGCAGACAGGAGCUGACGAUGUGGACAGUGGAUUUAUAGGAUCGGUGGUUGGGUCAGACGUCACUCGUCCGUUACCUCAGCAGCAGCAGCAGCAACAACAACAGCAGCAGCCACUGAGACUGAGACACCCUGGGGACUCAGGGAGAAGGAACAGGGCGAGUAGUGUUAGAAGUGGUGCUGACACAAGCACAUCGGACACAGGUCAUGGUCGGUCAAGGUCAACUAGAGACAGUGAAAGUGACCGUAGAGAUAGUAGCAUGCAGAAUGAUAGCAUGGAGGUGACGGCCAGUUUCAUGGAUGACCCGACAGAAACAGAGGUCAGUGAAAGUGACAGAGGUCAGAGGUCGCAGAAAAGACAAGGUCGCGAGAAUCGGAAUGUGGGUCAGCAUGACCGGACUUCAGAAGGUUACUCAGGAGAAGAAGACACCGAUGCUACACCAAAACCUUCAACAAGGUUGAAAAUUAGCCAAAAAACAGAAAGCAAGGAAGUCGCAUCACCAGCUAAACCUCAGCGGAAGUCACGCACCCUGGUGUCAGAGGAGGAAGAGGAGGUAACUCCGAGAGCUACACCAACACGAGGGAUGGGAGGAUCUCGAUACGCCUCUUCAUCUGACAUGGAGACACCGAGAAGUGUCCAGGCAAAGACAAGACAGACUGCUCCGCCAAGAUCAGGGGCCACCAGGGCGACACCUGCUGGCAGACAGCUGGAUCGAACAGAAGAACGAACUGUUAAAGGGCGAGAAUCCCUGCUGAAGAGUAAUCUCCAGCAAAGGAAGGAAGAUAGGGCAGUGGGGUCAGAUCGAGAGUGGGACAGAGGUCACGAGUCAGAUGCUACACGUUUGUCGUCUGCAUCAGGGUCUCGUCUACGCGCUCUACAGGAUGAGGUUGAGAGGUUAAAGGAGAGAGUGGAACAGGCUGUGGAAACCCCCCCUCAAGCCCCUCCUCUACCUCCUCAAGGUCAGCCCGAGUACUAUGACCCUUUUGAUGAUCCUUAUGGCUUCAUGAGAAUGCCAAGGAGAAGAGCCAACUCCUUUUCAGGCACCAAUGCACGGGAGUGGGAUGAAUGGUACUGGACACUGCCCAAUCAGCGGAAGAACGAUGGCUCGGACAUUCCUCUUGGCUACGCUGCUGCGGAUGCUUACGCUGAAGCGCCCCCACCACAAGCUGCAGAAUCUCCCGCCAGAAGUCGAUUACGGAGACGCAGAAUGGAAAGGAUGAAGAAAACAGAGCAGGGAAAUAAGCCUGCAAGUGGACCUAUAGAACAUCCUUCUCAACCUUUUGCAGGUCCUGGAAUUGUGCUAGGUGCUCAUCCUGGGUUAGCAACUCAUCCGGGAGUAGCAACUCAUCCUGGGGUGGCAGCUCAUCCUGGGGUGGCAGCUCAUCCUGGAGCUCAUCCAGGUUUGAGGCCAGGAGCUGUGCCAGGAGCUGGGCCUGGAGCUGGGCCUGGAGCUGGGCCUGGAGCUGCCCCCGGAGCUGUAGGUGGGUUUGUCGGGGCACCUACAUCCCCUAGAGAUGGGGAGGGUGUUGGACUUUAUGAAUAUUAUGUCCCUUCCAGGUACAGCACACAGGGGAUGAGACAGCAACUUGCCAGUAAGGGUUAUUUCCGUACUCCCUCUGGUGCCAAAAUCUACGCCAAUCAACAGCCAGGUGCUCCCCAGGUUCCUGGUUACCAUCCAGCUGUUCCCCACGGACACCCCCCGCCUCAAUAUGCCUACUCUAACUAUGGAGAGGGUCAUGUCAGCCGAGGCUACCAGUCCGAUACUGCUGGCAUGCACCCAGGAACAAACCGUCCCUUUUAUACUAUCCGUCGUUCUUCCAAUAGACCAGCAGUGUUUUCUGUGCCAAGGUCAAGGCCAGUUAUGCAAUCCUACUAUGAGGACUAUGAUUCUGUGGAUGGGCGGUCAGGCUAUCAGACUGAUCCUGGAAUCGGGGCUGGUUCCCGGACAUGGAGACAGAGAUCGUAUGUGGUUGAAGCAGCGACCUGUCCUCUCUGUGGAGGCUCAGGAGAACAUACGCAUGCUGAAUAUGAUGAAGGCGACAACUUGCAAUAUCACACCAGGGAAUUCGUCACAGAGAGAUCGAGUAGGCCUCAUAGAAGGUCAAGGUCAGUGUCAAGGUCAGCAUCAAGGUCACAUCACUUUAGCCCGGAGCGGAGUAGCAGUUACUGGAUUCGUGAGUUCAGAGACACUUCCAGUGAUGACACAGAUGAAGAGAUAUAUUCACGGCGAAGAAGGAGCCGAAGUUUAUCACGCACAAGACGGAAAACUAGAAAAUAUAGAAAAGUGCAUGGCUCCUACAGUGACAGGGAUGUUGAUAAGGACGAUUCACUAGAUAUUGAUCUGAACGAGUCUCUGAAUCUGACUGAGGAUAUUCGUGGUCUCACACGGAAGAUGCUACGGUCUAUGCGUUCCGACUUACGCAGUUAUAAGAGGCGGGAUUUUGGCUCUUCAGAGUGGUGAUGCCAACAAGGAAAGCCUCAGUUCCUACAUACUAUGAUACUGAUUGCUCCAGUUUCCUGAAGCCCAACACUUUUACCUCGGACCUCACUAGCAAUUCAAGCACAGUAUAGUUCCAGAACCUGAAGGUCAAAGCCGGAUAAGGGGUGGUCAGGUAGCCUAGUGGUUAAAGUGUUCACUCAUCACGCUGAAGACCUGUGUUUGAUUCCCAUCAUGGAUACAAUGUGUGAAGCCCAUUUCUGGUGUUCCUCGCUGUGAUAUUGCUGGAAUAUUGCUAAAAGCAGCGUAAAACCAUACUCACUCACUCGUUCAAACCCCGAUGCAACUUUAAUGUUGUUCAAAGCAAUUUACAUUGUGUAACUCUCAUGACGGCUGUAGGAUGAAUAUCUAGUGGUUAUGUGGCUGACUGUGUCAUCGUGUCCUGAAGAUGUGGAUCUUUGCUCUUGCUGUCAACCACUGGUUUGCCUGGUCCAGAUUUAAUUAUUUUCAGGCCAUUGUGAUCAUGCUGGAAUAUUGCUGACUGCAGCAAAACAAGAUUCAUUCACUGCACAGAAACAAUAAAUCACUCUGGGGUUGGAGGAGAUCUGAUUACUUGUUUCUGAGGAACCAUUGUAUUGACCUAUCCUGAUAUUCUGCUGAAAUAUUUAAAUAUAUAUAACCUUGGAAACAGGUAUGCAAAAUCUGGAUCUACGGAAAAGGAAGACCAGAUUUUAAUUCAAGCAGGAGUGUGUCUGUUUUGCUUGAUAAAAUAUCUGUGAUUAUCGUAACCGUGGUUACCGAGCUGGACUAGCCUGCACGAAACAGACAUUGAACAAGGUGGAGUUUUAUUUAGAAACUUUUAUACUUCAUAAGAAAAAUGUCCGUCCAUUAUGUUAUGCAAUGCAGUAUAUUUUGUCAAAAUAUAUGUCUCACAUUACACAGCAAUGAAGUCAUCAUGUCAUGAAAUCCAAUAUGGCCGUUUUGUCAACCAUUUUGUAUUCAGGUCUUCCUUUGUGUUGAGAUCAUUUUACCAUAAAUUUUCCAUUUUAGGAUGAAUAUAAGUUAAAAAGGUUGUCAAAAUGUCAUAAGAUAAAGAUCUGGUAAUAUUGUAACUAUUGUACCCUUUUGUGGGUCAUUUAUAGAAUUGAGGACUGUAGCUUUUAAUGCUUGUUUUACAUCGUGUUAUUCCUGUAGAUGGGUGUUGAUGUACUGUAAUCUCAUUUCUUGAGCGAUGUACCACUUUUAUGCAGACAUAUCUUCUUGUAUACAAUAUACAGGCUAGUUUUAUCAUAUUCAUUUAACUAUCCUCAAUUAUCCAGAGUAUUUGAUCUCCAUUCUAUUAAGAUAAAUACCAUGGACCCAUUUUCUUCUUUACAUUUGUUUUCUUCUCGAUUCUUAUGACAUAAUUUUGAAAAUAGCUGUCCAAUCAAAUUGCACUCAUCAGCGAAAGAAAUUUUGUACAAAGUUGCCGUUAAGAGAGAAAUAGAUGGAGCCAUCACUUCCAUAAUGAAGCUAUGGUGGCAAAUAAGUCCAGGGAAUUUAUCAUAAUAGAAUAGAUAUAAUACACUGUAUUAAUGAGGAUGUCCAAUUACUAUACAAAUGUAUUUUGCCCGACUUGUCAGUUCGCUGAUAUUAUGCCAUAGUAUAUGAUGUGUUAUGCUUCUAUCUAGGAAUUGGCUGAUGAAGGGUAGCUUCAGUUAAGCAUCACACUGUAAUUAUAUAAUGGUCAUUUGUUUUUCAUUCAUUGUUAUUCUGAACUGUGAAAACAGGAGUUAGCCAUGUUGUAUUGGUGUAGUAUGUGUAUCCCACUGUUAACAGUUCGGUUGUUGACACGCAAAGUCAGUGGACAUACACUUGGCACACACUGGACAUUAAUACCUGUGCAGCAAUGAACAAAAGCCAGCAUGUUUGCAUUGAGAUUAAAGGCAGACUGUGAUUUUUUUAUAUUUUAAUUAGCAUUAUGCCAUGUUUUGCAAAUAGGGAAACUUCACCUAAGGUUGGCUCACAGGGUGAUUAGAUCCUACCACCAAACUCAGUCCCAAUUCCAUCAUCAGUCCAUCAUCAUGGUAAUCCUGCCUCAACCCAGUCCUUAUUCCUUUCCCAUCCCAGAAUAUAAUCCUGCCCCCACCUGAGUCCUUAUUCCUGGCCUCACCAUAGUCCAUAUUCCUGCCCCAACCCAGUCCUUAUUCCUUUCCCAUCCCAGAAUAUAAUCCUGCCCCCACCUGAGUCCUUAUUCCUGGCCUCACCAUAGUCCAUAUUCCUGCCCCAACCCAGUCCUUAUUCCUUUCCCAUCCCAGAAUAUAAUCCUGCCCACACCUGAGUCCUUAUUCCUGGCCUCACCAUAGUCCAUAUUCCUGCCCCAAUCCAGUCCUUAUUCCUUUCCCAUCCCAGAAUAUAAUCCUGCCCCCACCUGAGUCCUUAUUCCUUAUUCCUGGCCUCACCAUAGUCCAUAUUCCUGCCCCAACCCAGUCCUUAUUCCUUUCCCAUCCCAGAAUAUAAUCCUGCCCCCACCUGAGUCCUUAUUCCAGGCCUCACCAUAGUCCAUAUUCCUGCCCCAACCCAGUCCUUAUUCCUUUCCCAUCCCAGAAUAUAAUCCUGCCCCCAGCUGAGUCCUUAUUCCAGGCCUCACCAUAGUCCAUAUUCCUGCCCCAACCCAGUCCUUAUUCCUUUCCCAACCCAGAAUAUAAUCCUGCCCCCAGCUGAGUCCUUAUUCCUGGCCUCACCAUAGUCCAUAUUCCUGCCCCAACCCAGUCCUUAUUCCUUUCCCAUCCCAGAAUAUAAUCCUGCCCCCACCUGAGUCCUUAUUCCUUAUUCCUGGCCUCACCAUAGUCCAUAUUCCUGCCCCAACCCAGUCCUUAUUCCUUUCCCAUCCCAGAAUAUAAUCCUGCCCCCACCUGAGUCCUUAUUCCUGGCCUCACCAUAGUCCAUAUUCCUGCCCCAACCCAGUCCUUAUUCCUUUCCCAUCCCAGAAUAUAAUCCUGCCCCGACCUGAGUCCUUAUUCCAGGCCUCACCAUAGUCCAUAUUCCUGCCCCAACCCAGUCCUUAUUCCUUUCCCAUCCCAGAAUAUAAUCCUGCCCCCACCUGAGUCCUUAUUCCUGGCCUCACCAUAGUCCAUAUUCCUGCCCCAACCCAGUCCUUAUUCCUUUCCCAUCCCAGAAUAUAAUCCUGCCCCCACCUGAGUCCUUAUUCCUGGCCUCACCAUAGUCCAUAUUCCUGCCCCAACCCAGUCCUUAUUCCUUUCCCAUCCCAGAAUAUAAUCCUGCCCCCACCUGAGUCCUUAUUCCUGGCCUCACCAUAGUCCAUAUUCCUGCCCCAACCCAGUCCUUAUUCCUUUCUCAUCCCAGAAUAUAAUCCUGCCCCCACCUGAGUCCUUAUUCCAGGCCUCACCAUAGUCCAUAUUCCUGCCCCAACCCAGUCCUUAUUCCUUUCCCAUCCCAGAAUAUAAUCCUGCCCCCAGCUGAGUCCUUAUUCCUGGCCUCACCAUAGUCCAUAUUCCUGCCCCAACCCAGUCCUUAUUCCUUUCCCAUCCCAGAAUAUAAUCCUGCCCCCACCUGAGUCCUUAUUCCUUAUUCCUGGCCUCACCAUAGUCCAUAUUCCUGCCCCAACCCAGUCCUUAUUCCUUUCCCAUCCCAGAAUAUAAUCCUGCCCCCAGCUGAGUCCUUAUUCCUGGCCUCACCAUAGUCCAUAUUCCUGCCCCAACCCAGUCCUUAUUCCUUUCCCAUCCCAGAAUAUAAUCCUGCCCCCACCUGAGUCCUUAUUCCAGGCCUCACCAUAGUCCAUAUUCCUGCCCCAACCCAGUCCUUAUUCCUUUCCCAUCCCAGAAUAUAAUCCUGCCCCCAGCUGAGUCCUUAUUCCUGGCCUCACCAUAGUCCAUAUUCCUGCCCCAACCCAGUCCUUAUUCCUUUCCCAUCCCAGAAUAUAAUCCUGCCCCCACCUGAGUCCUUAUUCCUGGCCUCACCAUAGUCCAUAUUCCUGCCCCAACCCAGUCCUUAUUCCUUUCCCAUCCCAGAAUAUAAUCCUGCCCCCACCUGAGUCCUUAUUCCUGGCCUCACCAUAGUCCAUAUUCCUGCCCCAACCCCAUCCUUGUUCCUGACCUCACACAAGUCCUUAUUCCUGGCCUCACCAUAGUCCCUAUUCCUGCCCUUGCCACAAUCCUCAUUCCUGCCCCCAUCCGAGCCCUUACUCCUGUCCCAACCCCAGUCCUAAUUCCUGAAACCCCAGUCCUUAUUCCUGACCCAACCCGAGUCCAUAUUCCUGGCCUCACCAUAGUCCUUAUUCCAGCCCUUUCUUCAUAUUCAAAUGGUUGUCAACUUGCUACCUCUAUCACAUCACUACUAGGCCCUGUCACAGAACAUGCAGGAUGUUAUUAUUAAACACUGCACUUUGUGUACUGUUUUACUUCCAUCCGUCCACCUUACUAUCAAGGUACAAUCAUCACACGUUUAUGUGUGAUUACAGUGUCAAUCUGUACUAUUUUAUUGAUCCAGUAUCAGGAAGUCAUCUCAAAUUUUGAACUGCUUUUUCCAUUACACAACAUGGCAGGAAGCAAUCCGGCUAAUCAAAAUUAAAUACUUUUCAAAUGUAAUUAAGAUGAUAUUUAGUAAAUUAAUCUUGGAGGAGCAAAUCAUUGUUCAGUAAAGUAUUCAUUUGUAUUAACUUACCUAUUCAAAGUAUUUCCUAUCAUACAUUAGGAUAGUCUGCAAAUGCCCCCAUAUAUUUUGAAGACAAACUUCAAACUUCACGAAAUCUGGUGAACAUUAUAUAAAAUAUGUACUUUGAACAUUCUGUGGUAUUUUUUAGCAUUCUGAUGAUUACCAUGGUCAAAGUGACUAAAUUGUCUUAAAUAGGCAUCCAUCCUCGGCAAACUUUUAUGUGCUCUGAGUGCUAAACACACUUAUGUGUUUUAAUUAUUCAAAUGUAUUACGUAUGUCAAGCUACAUUGUGAUAUGAAAGAUAUGCAGCUAUGGCAGAUAACAUUAAACUUACCUAUUUAUAUCAUUUGCAUAUAAAAUGCACAUAUCCAGUAUUAAUCAUUGAAAUGUUUUGGCUGAUUUCAAAUAUUAUUUAUGAUAAUUGUUUUUUUAAUUCAUAUUAUAUUUCAUAUAUCAACUGGGUUUGAAAAUAUAAAUUUACUUUUUGAAUUUUAGAUUUAGAUACCUUUUGUAUCUAAAAAACUUUUAUAAAUGUGAUAAACAGUUAGGCAUACCAAUAACUGGUUUUAGAACAGAACAUUAAUGUUGUGUACUUAUUAAUGUUUUAUUGAGUUUCUUAUUUUUAAUAUGUAUGACACACAUAUAUUCAUAAUAUGUACCAAAAUAUCCGUCCUUGAAGCUGACAACAUGUAUUUUAUUAUAUUUCAUGUAAAUGCUUCGUAUAGUGUGAUUUCAAAGUCAUUUACAUUUUACAUUUACAAGUCAGUGUCUGGUAUUUCCUGGAAUGAUGCAUUACUUAUGGUAAUACUAAGUGUAAACAUAUGUUGUCUCACUAGGCCAGAUUAUUUGUUUUCCUGGUUGUCCAUCUUUGUAAUAGACAGUGGACGAGUGACAGUACUUUGUCGGGAUAUAAAGGUACAGUCUGGAGAACAAAGGGUGUGGUGAUACAGAGUCCUAUUGUUCUUCCAACUGUUCCUUUUAACCCUGAUAAUGUACUGGCAAGAUUCCACUGUCUUAGAGCACAGUGAAAUACUCCAUGGUAUAAUCCCUUAUAUUAAGAGUCCCUAUGGCACAGGUGCACUCCUAAUGGUACAGUCAGAUUGUGCCAUGAGGGCAUGCACAGAAAUGUUGUGAUGAUGUAUAUAAUGUGGAUCAUGUUGUAAAUGUUUUUUUGCAAAACUUAAUACGGACAAAUUUGUAAAAUGAACAUGCGUAAGACACAGUGUGGUUAAUAUAGUAAUCCUGGGGAUUAUGAAAUAGAUAAGGAUGCUAUCAGUCUCGAACCCUUUGACAAAAAGACCUGUAAAAGUAACAACCCCUAAUCAUUAUCAUGAUAGAAGAUGGAAACCAAGGACAUUGUCUGGCCUUAACCUGUAAUAGUUGACCACUGAUUUCUAUAUAUACUUGAUAUAUAACUGUAUACCUAACUGUGUCCAUCAAGUCUACAUGUACCACAGUUUACGUGUAAGUGAUUCUGUCAACAUGUACAAUGACCUACAUAUGUGUGAUUCUGCCAACAUGUAUCACAAUUUGUAGACAUAUGUAUGAUUCUGUCAACAUGUACAAUGACUUACAUAUGUGUGAUUCUAUCAACAUGUACAAUGACCUACAUAUGUGUGAUUCUAUCAACAUGUACAAUGACCUACAUAUGUGUGAUUCUGUCAACAUGAACAGUGACUUACAUAUGUGUCAUUUUGUCAACAUGUACAAUGACUUACAUAUGUGUGAUUCUGUCAACAUGUACAAUGACUUACACAUGUGUAAUUCUGUCAACAUGUACCACGGCUUACAUGUGUGAUUAUGUCAGUGUAGAAAUUAGAUAUUCUGACAGUGCUCUAAAUUUGAUGUACAAUAAACAAAUAGAUUUAUUAAAAUAAAGAUUACAUCAUACAACCUGAA